GACGAACGCUGGCGGCGUGCUUAACACAUGCAAGUCGAGCGACGCUCUUCCUUCUUUGUGAUGACGUCGCGUCGAACGGGUGAGUAACACGCGGGCAACCUGCCCCUAGCUCUGUGACAUCACCUGGAAACCCGUGCUAAUACCGCAUACGACAUCUCGCGGCAUCUCUCGAUGUGUAAAGAUUUUUCGGCUAGGGAUGGGCCCGCGGCCUAUCAGCUUGUUGGUGGGGUAAUGGCCAAGCAAGGCGCCGUCGGGUAGCCGGAGUGAGAGGGCGUCCGGGCAGGCUGGGACUGAGAGACGAGCCAGAUACCUGCGGGAGGAAGCAGUGGGGAAGAUUGCGCAAUGGGCGAAAGACUGAGGAAGCGAGGCCGCGUGAGGGAGGACGGCGUUCGGGUUGUAAACUUCUCUCAGGAGGGACGAAUACUGACGGUACCUGCAGAAGAAGCACCGGCCAACUACGUG
rnacentral:rRNA from 1 species